CACCCCAGGUGUUUGUCGUCUUCUCGACCACGAGUGCGGACGUUAACACGUGAUAGCGGUGAAUGUAAAUGUCACUAAAUUUUUAAUCAUCUUUGUCUAUCACGAUUUUGAUAUCGUGUUUGUCUCCAUAUGUUUAAAUUGUCCUAAUUUAGUUUGCAAAAAUUCAGACUUAAGUAAUCUUCCGAAACAUCAGAUCCAAUAUCGUUUGGGUUGAGCCAUCGACGUCUUGCCCAAACUCUAACCUUUGAAAUCAGAUCUGGUUCUGUAGAAUCCAUUUUUUUUAAUUCCCUCGCGCCUGUGUCGUGCGCGUCCCUCUGCGGCCUGGCAUUGUGACGUGUGGCGAGCGUUAACCGGUGUCUGGACAGCGCACAGCCUCUCGCCCACGUAAACGAUGCGUGUCGUCGCUUUUGAAAGGAUCACAAGUUCGAUGUCAUAUCGAUCUCGCGUAUUUAUUUUGCGAAAUGUCGAGUGUUGUGUCUGUUUAAAAAUUUAUGGAUAAGGGGAACAUUAAUUUGGAAUCUCGACCCACUCUUGUGAAUUUUGACCCGAGUAAAUUUUAUUAGAAGCUCGGCGACAAGGGCGUUGAUGCGAGAUUUAAUUGGACCACGAUAAUUAAAACCGAACUGAGUAUUCGUAAUUAAUCGGUUCCACUGUCUACAACUGUGGAAAUUUGUCUGAUCCUAAAAAUACCUACCAGUGUUAGCGUAGUCUAAAAACAUUAAAAUUGAUAUUGUUUUGAUGGGUCUGUUUGCAUCUCGCUCGGAUUCAAAUCCCAGAUUUUUACUUAUUUGGGGUAUUCUAUUGGUUAAAGAUUGGAGAAGGAAAAUCUGAAUUUUCUUACCUCUAAGUGUCCAUCUCCAACUAAUCCUCAUCCUACGUAAAAAAAAUGGCUCCCAGAAAGUGUCUCUCGUAUGUUCCUUGAUUUCCUUGGAAAUUUCAUCCACCGCCAGCAUUACUAUUACGUGGCCAAAAUCCCUGAAGCGGCAUGUCUUACUCCCACACGUCCUUAUCUUCCUCUAGACUUAUCCCCAUCGUUUCUAGCUUCUAGUUUAUCCGUUGUCGGCAUUAUCUUUUCAAGAGCUGGACGCACGUCUCCAUGUUGCCUGUCGGCCUUAUCUCCAUCCCUCAUCACCUCUGCGAGCACAAGUUUUAGCGCCUGCCCUCAGUCCAGCUCGCCAGCAGCUCUCUGCCCUCCUCCCUCAAGCCCUAGCCGAGUUUUUCCAUGGUGCCCUGGAUGCCAGCCCCUUUACUCGCUGCCCCUGCAUUCCUGCUCGCCCUGCCCCCAGCCAUGGACACCGUCGGGCCACCCGUUCCUAUCUCCCCUCACCCUCAUCCUCUGGCUGCUGCCCCUUCCUAUUCCUGGUGGUUGAGUCUUCUUCCAUGGACGCCAAUAGCAGCAGCCCACUCCUUUUGUUCUCCAUGGAUGAAAGCCCAAGCAUCUGCCCCUCCCCUAGGUUUUUUACAAUCGCAGCAGCACGUCGAACCUUUGCAACCCCGGUGAGACCAGCUGCUUGCGCUAUGUUUAUUCCCCACCAAUUCCUAUAUUUGAUUAUUUACUGUAUAUGUUUGUGUGUUUGUGGUGGAGGUAAAUCCUAGGAAAUUUAGAUGAGAAGAAAGCUAUAGCGAGGCGCUUGCCAAGUGCUUGGUGAAUCGCCUCAACCGGAUGUGGUUGUCGAUCUCGCGGAGUCGAGUCGAGUUUAGUCAUGGUACGUUCAUUGAUCACGUAAUGUGGAGGACAACAACUGGAAUAAUCUCAAGAUGGGACUGAUGAAUGAACCCAAAGCUAAAUGAUCUGAUCGUGCUGGAAUGGGAGGUGCUCGCCAAGCGAGUAUCAUCUAACAACACUGACUUAGUGUUUAUCCCAGGCAAGCCCCGGUGCAUUUGCCACCCCCUUGUUGUUAUAAAACUUUUAUC